CCUACGGGAGGCAGCAGUGGGGAAUAUUGCACAAUGGGGGAAACCCUGAUGCAGCGACGCCGCGUGAGUGAAGAAGUAUUUCGGUAUGUAAAGCUCUAUCAGCAGGGAAGAAAAUGACGGUACCUGCUUAAGAAUCCCCGGCUAACUACGUGCCAGCAGCCGCGGUAAUACGUAGGGGGCAAGCGGUCUCCGGCUUUAAUGGGUGUAAAGGGAGCGUAGACGGCAGCACAAGUCAGGAGUGAAAUGCCGGGGCUUAACCCCGGAACUGCUUUGGAAAGUGUGCAGCUAGAGUGCAGGAGAGGUAAGUGGAAUUCCUAGUGUAGCGGUGAAAUGCGUAGAUAUUAGGAGGAACACCAGUGGCGAAGGCGGCUUACUGGACUGUAACUGACGUUGAGGCUCGAAAGCGUGGGGAGCAAACAGGAUUAGAUACCCGUGUAGUC
rnacentral:rRNA from 1 species